rnacentral:lncRNA from 1 species
CUGCCUUUGCUUUCUCUUCCGGUACUUAAUGUAUGGCAUGCAAUCCAACCACCCGGAGGGAUGUUUCCAGAUCUUUCCAUCCCACCCAGGAGUGUGGCCUUCCUCAGGGUUCCCCACGAAUCUCUGUCGCCCUUGUGGUGACAGAGAUCUUCGCCACGAAGACACACUGUUCACUAGGAAACGCCACAGGGAGAACAGGGGUGUUUCGACCUAAUUUCUUGUGCCAUCCCCUGUCCAGGGACCCGGAGUGUCAGACAAUGCUAUGCGCUGCUUGUUAUGGGCAUAAAACAGACCUUGACAAAUUCAGUCUGAGGGAUAUGUCUUUCUAGCCUGUGUUAAGACGGGUUACUCACCAAUAUCCCCAAAUUGGGAGAUUGCAUAUUCCAGUUUCUAGCUUCUCUUAAAAAAAGAAUAAUAUUAGGCUCCAGAUUCCUGCUGGAGAAGAAUCUAUAAAAGCCUGGGAAUGGCUCCCCAUUCAAUGAGGCACGUAUCUUCCAGGGUACCGCCAUCCCCACCACUCACCUUUGCCUCUUACUGAAUACCCUUCCUCCUCCUAUCCUUUCUUCCAUCCAUCCUUGCAUCUUUCCUUCAUCCUUGCUUCCUUCCUUCCAUCCUUCUUCCCUCCCUCCUAUCCUUCCUCCUUUCCUCCUUCCUUCCAUUUCUCUCUCCCCGGUUUCCUUCCUUCCUAUACUCUUUCCCUAAAAGUCUCUCCCCUCAUGCUUCCUUCAAUGUACCCCUCUACAUGGCACAGCCUAUUUGGUUUUAGGAUCCUGUCUGCUGUCAUCUCUUCUGCAAGGCUUUUCCUGACGGCCCACUAUCCCCAUUACCUACCUCAUCAUCGACUCUUCUCUAGGCGCUCUCUGACAUGCACACCUGCAGGUAUUUAUAAAUAUUGGACAACCGAUGCCUAGUGGGAGACUAGCAUACAAUGGAUGCUCAGCGAGGGGCUGCCCAUGUAAAGGACAUCCAUGUGGUCCUGGGCAGCAUGGGAUCCAUAAGGAUGUGGGUCCCAUGUGAAAGUGCUAGGAUAAAAGGUCCACAGAGUAUUGUGGAGAACAGAGGGAAGGGCCCUCCACCUGGACCAGGCUCUCCAGAGCAGGGGAAUUGCUUGAUCUGAUAUUUGAAAGACAAGGAAUUCAUCGCUUGCUAGUAAAUUGAGAAAAAGUGAAUUUUUUGGAAAGAAACCAUAAUUUGAGAAGGCACGUAACCAUAAAGGGAAUUUCAGCCAGGUCUGUAUUGUUACAGAGAAGGAUGCAUUUCCCGAUGCUGCCAAAAAACAAGGCAAGAACCGUUUGAUCUCUUUGUUGAAAACCAUGGUUUCCUUUGACUCCGUUUUCAAAAGUAGAAUUAACUGAAGAUCACAAGUAAAUAAAGACAAUUGUAUUUUAGGAGAAAGACUUAAUUUUUAACUUAAGAGACCUACAUUUUUCAUAUUACUGAUGUGUUUUUAUGUACAUAGGGAGCUUGCUCUCUCGAGCUUUCUUCGGAAGCAAGUUUGGAAGGGAUUUUAGAAGCAACAACCCAAUACAGGCCAUUUUUUAACAUAAAGCUUAUUGUGCUGCUUUGUUUUCAUGGGCAGAAAUAGAAAAAUUAAAGAGAAAAGUUCCACAAAUAUAGUCAAGGAAAAUUGGAUAAGGGUAUACAAGGACAACUCACUUAGUUGGGGUAAAAUACAAUUUAUUUUACCCCCAGUUAUUCCAAACUAUUUUCUGGAAGUUACAACAAAAUCAAAUUUGAUUCCCCAAAUCUUCUCUUGGGGAUUGUUUGGCAAAUCUGAAAUGUGAAUAAAAAUUUCCUCCCAAACAUCCAAAUGGAGUUUUCUGCCACGAUUAUUCAGAAAAUAUUACCUGAAUUUAUCUUGCAGGCAGGCUAGAUGUUAUUUGAGUUCAUUUUCCCUGAAAUCACUUUCAAGGAUGAAGCUGGAAAGAGAAGAGACUAUUUUUUUAAAAAUCAACAGUGUGUCCUCACUAUAGCUGGAUGUUGAUUUCACUUGCUUGAAGUGUAUUUAAUAGACAUUAAUAUUGGUGUUUACUGCUUAAAAUUUCAAGUUCCACUUAGAAAGUUCCCCAUACAGCUGCCAAAUAUGGCAAACCCCAAUGAAAGUGAUUACUCUUGAAAGUGUGGAAUAAUUGGUAGUUUCCUUGAAGUUCUAAAAAUAAGACCCCCUGCCUUCUUCAGCCCAAAACCUUUCCUUUUGAAAACAAAUCCACUUCAGGAUAGAACAUAGAAACUUUAUCAUGGACAUUCAGAUAUUCACAAAGGAAGGCACAUACUCUAGCACUAUUCAUGGGAUUGACUUGAUAAUGACGUGAGUAAUUCUCAGAGAUUGCUGGGCAGGGUUUUAGAUACUUAGCAGUGCAUAACUCUGAUUUUGUUUUUUUCUCCCAGCUGGAGUUUUACUGUGAAUUGGUGUGGCUGGAGCAUCUGUGUCCAUUCCAUGAACUUUUUAAGAGCUUUUUUGUUCAGAAGAAUUUUGACAGGACUUCAAAGAUAUUAUUGGUUUGGUUGUAGCCCCAAAGGCUUGAGAAACAGCUGUUUUCCUUCCACACCAUCUUGAACCACAAGUCAUGCAUAAAGGUAUGAUGUAGCAUGAAGUUCUUGAGGGAUAUCCAAAGAUGCAUGAAACUAGGAGGAUGAAAAAGACAGAAUUUGAUCUUUUGCAAAACUUACAAAUAUGUGGCAUCAUCAGGUAAGACUUUUUCUUUCCUAUUUUUUUUUUAUUUUUAUUUUUAAGAAUCGCACACCUGGCAUAUGGAAGUUUCCAGGAGGCUAGGGGUCAAAUCAAGCCACAGCCAUAUCAGAUAUGAGCCACAUCUGCAACCUACACUGCAGCUCAUCACAACAUGGGAUCCUUAACCCAGUGAAUGAGGUCAGGGAUCGAACCUGCAUCUUUGUGGAUACUAGUUGGGUUCGUAACCCACUGAGCUACAACAGAAACACCAAGACUUUCUAAAGCCUGACUGUAGAAUUUGGGAAAGAAAAAUUCUGGAGUAGAUUUGACACAUCCUCUCAAGGGAACUUUUGGCGGCACUUAGAAUGGAUUGUUCCCUGAGAAUUUUUCCAGGGUUGUGAAGUUUCGUCGUCCAGUGAUUAAAAGGGAUACUUGAUGCAAAAUCUUCACAGCCAUUACAGUUUUUAUCUUAAUAUGUCCUAAUCUUAUUUAAUAUUAUGUGCUGCAGAGAAUAGUGCUAUAAUAACAAGGUCUACCCACAUCAGAAAGUUUGUGUGACUCUAAUUUAAAUGCCAUUAUAGCUAAGGUGGGACUGUACCUUUUUUUUUUCAUUUUUAAACUUUUAUUGAGGGAGAGCUGAUUUAUAAUGUUGAUAAUUUCUGCUGUACGACACAGCGAUUCAGUUGUACAUGUGCACACAUCCAUUCUCUUUCAGAUUCUUUUUCCAUAGAGAUGAUCAUGGAAUAUUGGGUAGAGUUCCCUCUGCUCUAGAGCAGGUCCCCAUUGGCCAAUCAUGCCAUAUACCUCAGUGUGCACAUGCCAAUCCCAAACCCUUAGUCCAUCCCUCUCACCCUCCCUAUCCUUUGAUCAGUGUUCUUAAGCACAAAAAAUCAAAGCCUUGCUGUUUGCAGUGAACCUGGACUGAACCUUGAUGUAUAAGUAAAUCACGUCCAGAUUUGUGUUUUGGCUGCCAUCUUCAGUUGCUUUAUAGAAACAGGGUUUGUUUGUUUGUUUGUUUUAAUGGGGAGUAUUUUCAAGAGUGCCAAGCUGGUUUUGAAGAGAAAAGUGAUCCUGAUGGCAGAGGAGGACCCUCGAGUUUCCCCUCAUACCUGAGCCCAGGAAGCAAGAUAUUGGUUUGUUUUAUGUGUACACUCAUGUCAGCCUAAAACACGAUGCCGUGUAAUGGAGACUUAGAGAAGAUAUAAAAUAGUUUUACAAUUCUCUGAUUUAUUUGCUGUUGGACUAAACUCAAACAAUACAGAGAUAUAAAAAGAAAAAAAGAGGCGUUCCCUGGAGGCCUAGAGGCUAAGGAUCUGGCAUUGUCACUGCUGUGGUGCAGAUUCAAUCCCUGGCUCAUGAAUUUCCACAUGCCAUGGGCAUGGCCAAAUUUAAAAAAA